rnacentral:misc_RNA from 1 species
GGGAAAUCAUUAUUUAGAUAAGAAAAUAUAAAAUCUUACCAAAUGACAAACAGAACUGCAAAAUGGGUUUUCACAUAAAUUAGCUCUCUAUUAGGAUUCAGGAGAACAAAUAAACCAAAGAAUGUCAAAUACAAGUGAAUAUAAUUGCACUAGUAUCGGUAACAGUAGAAUUUCUUGGACUGGAAUUGUAAAUUGACAGCAACUCAGCUACUGAAAUAAAAGUACCCAAUACA